rnacentral:rRNA from 1 species
AUGGAGUCCCGGGCCAUUAGCCCCGGCGAGACGGCGCUGCCGUACGCGUACGCGCCGCUGGCCCCGUCCGACGUCGCGGAGGAGCGCCGGGGCGGCGGCGGUGGGGUGAGGUGGCGCGCGUGCGUCGCCGUGCUCGCCGCGUCCGCCGUGGUGGUGCUGGUCGUGGCCAGCGCGCUGGCCGGGUCCGGCAGGGUGGACCGGGUCGUGGGCGGCGACGUGGUCGCGGACAUGCCGCCGCUGGCGGAGACGGCGCGGAGCCGCGGCCGGGACGCCGGCGUGUCGGAGAAGACCUCCGGGGCGGCGGACGAGAUGGUGGGGCUCCUCGGCGCCGGCGGCGACGCCGACGGGUUCCCGUGGAGCAACGCCAUGCUGCAGUGGCAGCGCACCGGCUUCCAUUUCCAGCCCGAGAAGAACUGGAUGAACGAUCCCAACGGUCCCGUGUACUACCGCGGAUGGUACCACCUCUUCUACCAGUACAACCCGGAGGGGGCGGUGUGGGGGAACAUCGCGUGGGGCCACGCCGUGUCCCGCGACCUCAUCCACUGGCGCCACCUCCCCCUCGCCAUGGUGCCCGACCAGUGGUACGACAUCAACGGCGUCUGGACCGGCUCCGCCACCGUGCUCCCUGACGGCUCCCUCGUCAUGCUCUACACCGGCUCCACCAACACCUCCGUGCAGGUCCAGUGCCUCGCCGUCCCCGCCGACCCCAACGACUCCCUCCUCCGCAACUGGACCAAGUACGAGGCCAACCCUAUCCUUGUCCCGCCGCCCGGCAUCGGCGACAAGGACUUCCGCGACCCCACCACCGCAUGGUUCGACGAGUCCGACAAGACCUGGCGCACCGUCAUCGGCUCCAAGGACAACCACGGCCACACCGGCAUUGUCAUGACCUACAAGACCAAGGACUUCAUCAACUACGAGCUCAUCCCCGGUCUGCUCCACAGUGUCCCCGGCACCGGCAUGUGGGAGUGCAUCGACUUCUACCCCGUCGGCGGCGCCGAUGGCUCGGAGGAGCUGUACGUGAUGAAGGAGAGCAGCGACGACGACCGCCACGACUGGUACGCGCUCGGGAGGUACGACGCCGCGGCCAACAAGUACACGCCGAUCGACGCGGAGAUGGACGUGGGCAUCGGGCUGAGGUACGACUGGGGCAAGUUCUACGCGUCCAAGACCUUCUAUGACCCCUCCAAGAACCGCCGCGUGCUCUGGGGGUGGAUCGGCGAGACCGACUCCGAGCGCGCCGACGUCGCCAAGGGAUGGGCGUCCCUCCAGUCGAUCCCGAGGACGGUGGAGCUGGACGAGAAGACCCGAACCAACCUCAUCCAGUGGCCCGUGGUCGAGAUCGAGACGCUCCGCAUCAACUCCACCGACCUCGGCGGCACCACCAUCGACACCGGCAGUGUGCUCCCUCUCCCGCUCCGUCGCGCCACCCAGCUCGACAUCGAGGCCACCUUCCACCUUGACACCUCCGCCAUCGCUGCCGUCAACGAGGCUGACGUCAGCUACAACUGCAGCACCAGCGGUGGUGCUGCCAACCGUGGCGCUCUCGGUCCUUUCGGACUCCUCGUCCUUGCUGACGGUGCCCUCAAGGAGCAGACGGCGGUGUACUUCUACGUGUCGAGGGGCCUCGAUGGGGGCCUCCAGACCCAUUUCUGCCAGGACGAGUCACGGUCGUCGCUAGCCCAGGACGUCGUGAAAAGGGUGGUCGGCUUCACCGUGCCUGUGCUCGACGGUGAGGAUCUAUCCCUCAGGGUGCUGGUGGACCACUCGAUCGUGGAGAGCUUCGCCAUGGGUGGAAGGUCCACCGCGACAUCGAGGGUGUAUCCAACGGAGGCCAUCUACGCCGCCGCUGGCGUGUACCUUUUCAACAACGCCACCGGCGCUGCCGUCACCAUGGAGAAGCUCGUGGUGCACGAGAUGGACGACUCCUACAACCAGAUCUUCACGGCCGACGAUGCCUCAGCCGCCUUGUAG